CCUCAAGUUGUAAAAAUGUGCUAAUAACGUUAUUCUGAGAGUUAUUUCCCUCGGCAUUAUGAACGCGCAUCUAACCCACGGGACCGCGCUGCCCGGCACGUUCAUGUGAUGUGACGUGUUCAGCACCUCCCCCUUCACACGCGGUCACGUUCAGUGUUCACUGUCACGUCACUGAGGCUAAAGAGACAACGCUUUAUAUAUACAGUCUAUGCUAACAACCGACAACAGUUUGCUCCAAAAGAUGGCAGAAAUAGCCGGAUCGUCAUCCAGAGAGGAAAUCCUGAAGGAAAGUGGGCCUCCCGCCAUACUUGGACAAGGUCCCAAUGUGUGGAUAAUAGGGAGCAGCUACGUUAGACGUGGGGAAGAAAGAGCCAGACACACCAUGGGAAGCAACCUGGGUCUCAAUUGCCGUGUGUGGUGGUUUGGCAAGGGUGGUCUGAGGUGGAGGAACCUUCUUCCCUUUUUCUAUUAGUCCUUGAGAGGAAGAACAGUCCCGGAUGUCCUGCUCAUCCACUGUGGCGGCAACGACCUUGGCAACAUCAAAGGUGUGGAGCUUGUCACAGCGAUGAAGCAGGACCUGCUUUCCCUCAGUGACAACUUCUCAGAGAUGAAGAUAAUUCUAUCUUCUAUCAAUGAGAGAUGUCACUGGAGGAAAGCCAAUCCGGGAAAGCUGAACAAGGCCAGAAUGUGGGUGAACAGAGAGAUGGGUAAAUGUGUUAGUGGUUUGGGUAGAGUGUAAGGCAUCCUUGCAUUAAGUUUGACUGCCCUGGCAUAUUUCUAAGAGAUGGAGUUCAUUUCACCAAUUUGGGAAAU